UCCACCCUCGCAAGGUAAGUUUGUUUAGGUAGGAGCGAGUAAGACAGAGAUUUGGAAAGCGAAGCUGCUUGCAACGAGCUAAGAGGUAUGCUAGAGGCGACCAAGAAAUCGUGUUGAAACUCUCAGCGUUUGAAGAUUGCAAUGCAAAAGGGAGCCAGUGACACAACAAACAACUCAAACAAGCAGAGUGCAAGACAGAGAUUUGGAAAGCGAAGCUGCUUGCAACGAGCUAAGAGGUAUGCUAGAGGCGAUCAAGAAAUCGUGUUGAAACUCUCAACGCGCUCUUUCUUUUCGAUUGCAACGCAAAAGGGAGCCAGUGACACAAAAAUUAACUCAAACAAGAAAAGUGCAAGACAACGAGCCAAGGAACUCUCAACGCGAAGGGAAACUCACCGAUGUGGACAACGCUGUGUGAAUACGAACAAAACUAACGAUCAGGAACACUGAGUUUCAUGUUGCCAGGUUCGCGUGUGUUUCGAUUUGUUCUAAUUUCUUGUCAUGAAGAAGCCAAGUGACAUGUUGGUGCUACUCAACGACGAUAAGAACUGAAAAACGCCAUGUCACAGCAGAAAAAUGCUACUAGAUUGGAGAGAUUUUGUGUCAACGUUUUGGAGAGAUUUGUUGUUGCUGUGCUCAACGCAAUUCCUGCAAGCCGAGAAACAACGCGAUCUUCAAAACUUCAAUCCAGCUGAAGACGUACAUGACAAUGACAACAACGAUCAUGAUCCAUCCCUGAUCCUUGGCCGGACUGGUCAACUCUCGCACCUCUCCACCUCGCAAGAUUUGCUGAAGAAAAAAAAGCGAAGCUGCUUGCAACGAGCUAGGAUCGAAUGAUCAACGAUAAAUGAAAGGCUAGAAUUCGUGUUGAAACUCUCAGCGUUUGAAGACAUCAGGUUCGCUCUUUCUUUUCGAUUGAGAGUGUCGACAGGGUGCUAUGCUCAACACGUAAGGGAGCCAGUGACACAGUCAAGCUAAGAUGAUAUGCUCAUCAAACAACUCAAACAAGCAAAGUGCAAAACAACGGCCCAAGGAACUCUCAAUGCGAAGGGAGAUGACGAUACUUAGCCUCAGGUUUGCAUGUGUUUCAAUUUAAAAUGUAAAAGACAUGUAAAAGACAAGUGAACGUGUUGGUGCUGCUCAA